CGCGUGACGCGCGCCGACGUCACUUCGCCUCGCCCCGCCCCCGGCCGGCGGCGGGAAUUCUCCCUAGAGCCGUCGGAGCGUCGCACCUGCGGGGCUUUCGGGGGAGGCUGAAGGCCUGGGACGCCAUGGCCUUCGCCUUGCCCGGAGUCACGUUGCCCGCUGUCGUCGAGGAGCUCCUGAGCGAGAUGGCCGCGGCGGUGCAGGAGAACGCGCGAAUUCCUGAUGAGCAUCUGUCAUCGCUGAAGUUCAUCUUCGGCUCAUCCGCCAUCCAGGCCUUGGACCUCGUGGACCGACAGUCCAUCACCUUAAUCUCAUCGCCCAGUGGGAGGCGUGUUUACCAGGUACUGGGAAGUUCUGGUAAAACAUACACAUGCCUGGCUUCUUGUCAUUACUGUUCCUGUCCUGCCUUUGCCUUCUCGGUGCUGCGGAAGAGUGACAGCCUCCUGGUGAGGACAAGGGAGGCUCUUCCCACUCCAGUCAGAUUAGCAAAUUCUUGGCCCUUACCGCGUGGCUGCAAGCAUCUCUUGGCGGUUUAUCUUAGUCAGGUAAUGAGAACCUGUCGGCAGCUGAAGGUCUCUGACAAGCAACUGACUGACAUAUUAUUGGUGAAGAAGAAACAAGAAGCGCAAAAGGACAAGAGACUAUGAGUUGCAAGCCAGGAUGUGCGUAUACUUUGAAGGUCUACAGUUUCUCCUGAAAAAUCUGAGCCAGCCUCUGAGCCCCAUGGGUCAGUUUCCUGGAUGAAUCAAGCAUUUGACCCAAAGCCUAGUACCGUGUCCUGUGCGCUGUUAGAUUUUUUUUUUAAAGAUUUUAUUUAUUUAUUUGAAAGAGAGAGCACAAGCAGGGUGGAGGGGCAGAAGGAGAAGCAGACUCCCUGCCGAGCAGGGAGCCUGACGUGGGACUUGACCUCAGGACCCCGGGAUCACGACCUGAGCUGAAGGCAGACACUUAACCCACUGAGCCACCCAGGUGCCCAGUUAGAUUCUUAAGUUACUGAAGUACUAGUAAUUUUUAAGAGGUUGGAAUAGUAGACGAAACUGGUCAGAUGAAGUUUAGAUGAGUAAGUGUGACUUCCUUUCCUGGGAUCCAGGAGGUUCCCUGCAGCAACAGAAGAUCAGCGAGCGCAGAGAUGUGGCUGAAGAGCAUCCAGCAUAGAAAGACCUCGGGGUUCUUGCCUCAGUGAGCUGCAGCCAGUCUGUGGAGCUGGUGCCAGGAAAGCUCACACAGCCUGCAGCGUUAGAAAGGUGGUGUCGAAAACAAGGAAAGAGCGGUGGUCAUGCCCUGCGUGCACUGCGGGGCUUUAUAACAAGCCAAAGGAAGGAAAAUGAGCCUGCGUGCAGCCCAGGAGAACUUCUUACAACAUUAGACACUGUACAUGGAGGGAUCACAGGGGGUAGCUUCCCACCAGAGCUCAGAACAACAACCGGAAUCCACCUACAUCUGAACUCAAAACUGCUGGAUCCUGCAUGUGUGAAAAACUACUUUUAUGCUCAACUGACUUAAAGCAGGUGAGUCCAUCAGGGGAGCAGCUGCUCAUCACUUUGUGAACCCCCCCCAAAUACAGCUUUUUUCCCCGUUGGUUCAUUAUUUCAUUCAGAGCUCUUCCUUCGGACCAGGCCCUCUGUUAAUCACUGGAAACAUAAUCACAGCCCUCCUGGGUUGUAAAGCAAACGAGAGAGAAAGUAAACAAGUUGGGCGCCUGGGUGGCUCCGUCGUUAAGCAUCUGCCUUCGGCUCAGGUCAUGAUCCCAGGGUCCUGGGAUCGAGUCCUGCAUCGGACUCCCUGCUCAGCGGGAAGCCUGCUUCUCCCUCUCCCACUCCCCCUGCUUGUGUUCCCUCUCUUGCUGUCUCUCUCCCUCUGUUGAAAAAUAAAUAAAACCUUAAAAGAAAAAAAAAGAAACAAGUAAACACACAAACGUGUCAUUACAAAUCAGAAUGAGUUUAGCCACACCAAAAUGAAUAGGAUGCAGGUAAGAGAAAAACAGGAAGACUUUGGACAGAGGAUGCUGGAAAGGCCUCUUAAGCAAAGCUAGGUUCAGAAGGAGUAAAAAAUUACAAGA